GAGCCACCGUUUUUAGUGAGAAAGAAGAGAAGAGAGAAAAACGCAAGUUUUUCUCAUCAUGCCCAGAUUUCAUCAGAGGUCCGAUCCCACUUCGUCUGUGGUCCGAUUGAGCUGAAAUUUGGAGGAGAGUUUCGUGACUCAUUUAUCUUCAAUCUGAACGGUGAAGAUCGGAUUUGGAGUUUCGGAAAGUCAUUAGAAAGAAAGAGGAGAAGAGAGAAAAACGCAAGUUUUUCUCAUCAUGCCCAGAUUUCAUCAAAUGUCCGAUCCCGCUUCGUCCGUGGUCCGAUUGAGUUGAAAUUUGAAGGAGAGGUUCGUGGCUCAUGUAUCUUCCAUAUUAACGGUGCAGAUCGGAUUUGGAGUUUCGGACAGUCAUUAGAGAGAAAGAGGAGAGAGAGAAAAACAACGGUUUUUUACAUCAUGCCCAGAUUUCAUCAAAGGUCCGAUGCCGCUUUGUUCAUGGUCUGAUUGAGCUGAAAUUUGGAGGAGAGGUUCAUAAGUCAUUAAUAUUAAAUUUGAACGGUGAAGAUCGGAUUUAGAGUUUUGUAAAAUCAUCUUUUAGCCAAAAACAGAACCUUUAUUUUGGUGGGUUUUUUCUCUCUGGCUGUUUUGAUCAUUAGCUUUAAUCGAGGUCAAUUCGUGGUCCAAUUGAGUUGCAAUUUUAGGAGCACGUUCAGGACACAUUGAUCUUCAUUCUAACCGUGGAGAUUGGAUUUGGAGUUUGGAAAAAUGGUAUUUUAGUCCGAGAACAGUGGUUAUGUUUGGUUUCAAAGGAAAUUGAUUGGCCAAAAGACAAGAAGUCAUAAUGUUGAAGGAGGUAGUGAUGCCGAAAAUCAUGAAGAUUACAUCAAAGUCAUUUGGAGGAUGAUCUUAUUUUUUAUAGAAUAUAGAUCUUAAUAGUUGUUGCACUAAUAUUUGUUCUUUUGUAGAAUUAGAAAUUGUUAUUGAAAUAUUUUGAUAUAAUUAAUAAAUUUGUAUGUAAGUAUGAAGUUACAUUAAUAGUUUGAUGUGUCAUUGAUAAAAUCUAUUAAAGAUGACACUUCUAUAAA